GGUCACAAUUAAUAUAUUUUCAGUCCAAAGAAGAUGAUGGCCAUGUAAUUGAUGGUAUCUUCUCUUCAACUCCAGAAUGUAAGGCUUGCAAAGGUAGCACUUAGGCCUGGUGCGAGUAACAUGGUGAACGGAAUUCUGUGGAAGCUACUUUUACUGAAGGGAAAAAACUCACGUCCACUACCCAAACUGGAGGGUGAUGAACGUGCAAAAGCACGCUCUCUGGCAACUAUUUAUUCACAUCUUGUGGUAUGUUUGUCAUUGCACCUUCCCUUAUUAUUAUUAUUAUUAUUCUAGAAAUUUUACUUCAGGAAGAAGGGUUUUCACAUUUUCAUUUGCUAAUAUUUAUUAUUGAGGAAUUCUACCACGGUAGCAUGCUUCAUUGAGUUCUGUGAAGUGUACAUCGGAAUAUGUCCAAUUGACAUGUGGUGCCUGUGCAUGGUGAUCAGCUCAUCGAUUUUGUGGACCUGAAAAGCAAUGGUAUCUGACUGUUCUAGCCAAGCAUCUGCUCAGUGGUCUGAAGCAGACAAUUAACCCAAAAAGAGCAACUGUUCCUCAUGAACCAUCCUUGCAUAUGGAUGAUUUUGUCCGCAUCAAAACCGGCAUGCAGACUUUCAUAUAAGCGGGGUUAUUGAAAGACAGUCCAUGUUCAGUUCAGGAUGAGAGUGCAGGUCAGUUCUUUUUCCAGACCCUACCCCAGCCAUUUUUCUAAAAUAGGGUUUGAAGGCUAUGCCUAU